AAACUUUCAACAACGGAUCUCUUGGUUCCGGCAUCGAUGAAGAACGCAGCGAAAUGCGAUAAGUAAUGUGAAUUGCAGAAUUCCGUGAAUCAUCGAAUCUUUGAACGCACAUUGCGCCCCCUGGUAUUCCGGGGGGCAUGCCUGUCCGAGCGUCAUG
rnacentral:rRNA from 4 species